rnacentral:rRNA from 1 species
UACGGAGGAUCCAAGCGUUAUCCGGAAUUACUGGGCGUAAAGAGUUGCGUAGGUGGCAGAAUAAGCAAGGCAUGAAAGCGUGUGGCUCAACCAUACAUCCAUGUUUUGAACUGUUCAGCUAGAGAAUGAGAGAGGUCACUGGAAUUCCCUGUGUAGGAGUGAAAUCCGUAGAUAUAGGGAGGAACACCGAUGGCGUAGGCAGGUGACUGGCUCAUUUCUGACACUAAGGCACGAAAGCGUGGGUAGCAAACAGG